rnacentral:rRNA from 1 species
UCCACGCCCUAAACGAUGUCUACUAGUUGUCGGGUCUUAAUUGACUUGGUAACGCAGCUAACGCGUGAAGUAGACCGCCUGGGGAGUACGGUCGCAAGAUUAAAACUCAAAGGAAUUGACGGGGACCCGCACAAGCGGUGGAUGAUGUGGAUUAAUUCGAUGCAACGCGAAAAACCUUACCUACCCUUGACAUAGCUGGAAUCCUCGAGAGAUUGAGGAGUGCUCGAAAGAGAACCAGUACACAGGUGCUGCAUGGCUGUCGUCAGCUCGUGUCGUGAGAUGUUGGGUUAAGUCCCG